rnacentral:rRNA from 1 species
AUUGAACGCUGGCGGCAUGCUUUACACAUGCAAGUCGGACGGCAGCACAGAGAAGCUUGCUUCUUGGGUGGCGAGUGGCGAACGGGUGAGUAACAUAUCGGAACGUACCGAGUAGUGGGGGAUAACUGAUCGAAAGAUCAGCUAAUACCGCAUACGUCUUGAGAGGGAAAGCAGGGGACCUUCGGGCCUUGCGCUAUUCGAGCGGCCGAUAUCUGAUUAGCUAGUUGGUGGGGUAAAGGCCUACCAAGGCGACGAUCAGUAGCGGGUCUGAGAGGAUGAUCCGCCACACUGGGACUGAGACACGGCCCAGACUCCUACGGGAGGCAGCAGUGGGGAAUUUUGGACAAUGGGCGCAAGCCUGAUCCAGCCAUGCCGCGUGUCUGAAGAAGGCCUUCGGGUUGUAAAGGACUUUUGUCAGGGAAGAAAAGGCUGUUGCUAAUAUCAUCAGCUGA